UCUCAUGAAGCCAAAACCCUAACUUCAUCUAAUCCAUCAAAUUAGAAGGCUAAACGAAGCUCAAAUUCAUAACCGAGCAUGGAUUAAUGAUCACCUUCACAAGGGGAUCGUAAGGAUCAUGUCAAGAUGGGGGAAAGCAUGGAAGGCUAACGGAAAGAAUAUGAGGAAGCACGUACGAAACGGGCACUCGAGGUACAUUAGUGAAGUUUCGCCAAGGAUUAGACACCCGGAUGGAAUGAUUAAAUCUUGAAAGAUAACGAGAUGGAAAGUAUAUGUGGAUAGAACGUAACGAGACUACAUGAUUGAGAAUCUUGUUUGUAUAUAAUGUAUGCUAAUGUUGCGAAUGUAUGUGGUGGGUGCAGGUUGUACGAAUCACAGAUUAUCAUCACGAGGAGUAGCGAUCAAAGACCGAGUCACAAGAUAGAUUGU